rnacentral:rRNA from 1 species
GAUGAACGCUGGCGGCGUGCCUAAUACAUGCAAGUCGAGCGAACAGACGAGGAUCUUGCUCCUCUGACGUUAGCGGCGGACGGGUGAGUAACACGUGGAUAACCUACCUAUAAGACUGGUAUAACUUCGGGAAACCGGAGCUAAUACCGGAUAAUAUAUUGAACCGCAUGGUUCAAUAGUGAAAUACGGCUUUGCUGUCACUUAUAGAUGGAUCCGCGCCGCAUUAGCUAGUUGGUAAGUUAACGGCUUACCAAGGCAACGAUGCGUAGCCGACCUGAGAGGGGGAUAGGCGACACGGGAACUGAGACACGGUCAAGACUCCUAAGGGAGGCAGCAGUAGGGAAUCUUCGGCAGUGGGCGAAAGCAUGACGGAGCAACGCGGAGUGAGUGAUGAAGGUCUUCGGAUCGUAAAACUGUGUUAUUAGGGAAGAACAAAUGUGUACGUAGAUAUGGCCGUAUUGACGGUACCUAAUAAGAAAGCAACGGCUAACUACGUG